CGUUCCUACGGGACGCAGCAGUGAGGAAUAUUGGUCAAUGGGCGGAAGCCUGAACCAGCCAAGUCGCGUGAGGGAAGAAGGCCCUGCGGGUCGCAGACCUCUUUGGACGGGGAGCAGAGGUCCGGACGUGUCCGGGCCGGGAGAGUACCCGGAGAAAAAGCAUCGGCUAACUCCGUGCCAGCAGCCGCGGUAAUACGGAGGAUGCGAGCGUUAUCCGGAUUUAUUGGGUUUAAAGGGUGCGUAGGCGGGCAUUUAAGCCGGCGGUCAAAUGUCGGGGCUCAACCCCGGCCUGCCGUCGGAACUGG
rnacentral:rRNA from 1 species